rnacentral:rRNA from 1 species
AACGAACGCUGGCGGCAUGCCUAACACAUGCAAGUCGAACGAGAUCUUCGGGUCUAGUGGCGCACGGGUGCGUAACGCGUGGGAAUCUGCCCUUUGGUUCGGAAUAACAGUUGGAAACGACUGCUAAUACCGGAUGAUGACGAAAGUCCAAAGAUUUAUCGCCAGAGGAUGAGCCCGCGUAGGAUUAGCUAGUUGGUGCGGUAAAGGCGCACCAAGGCGACGAUCCUUAGCUGGUCUGAGAGGAUGAUCAGCCACACUGGGACUGAGACACGGCCAAGACUCCUACGGGAGGCAGCAGUGGGGAAUAUUGGACAAGGGGCGAAAGCCUGAUCCAGCAAUGCCGCGUGAGUGAUGAAGGCCUUAGGGUUGUAAAGCUCUUUUACCCGGGAUGAUAAUGACAGUACCGGGAGAAUAAGCUCCGGCUAACUCCGUGCCAGCCGCCGCCGUAA